CUUAUUUUCUAGUGAUGAGACCCACAGUUAAAUAUAAUUUAAACACUGACAGGUAGUGAGAGACGUUAGAAACAUCAAAACUUCCGUAUCCAGUAUGCAAACCUUGGCCGCGUGUGCCCUUAUCUCAGUGACUCUGGCAUUCAAAAUAUAUUGGGCUCAACAAAGGAAAUCUCCUCCCCGCUUUUUCUUCAUGAUAAAAACCCUCAUCAUAUGGGAUCGGCCCUCUCACUGACUUUUUAAGUGUAUAGUACACCGUUGUGACUAUAAGCAUAGUGUUGUUUAAGGAUCUCUAGAAUGUGUUGUUUAAGGAUCUCUAGAAUGUUUUCAUCUUUUUUUUUUUUUUUUUUUUAAAGAUUUUAUUUAUUUGAGAGAGAGAGAAAGAGAGACAGGCUCACUGCUGAACAGGGAGCCAGACACGGGGCUCCAUUCCAGGACCUGGGGCACGACUGGAGCAGAAGGCAGACACUUAACCGACCGAGCCCCCCACGUGCCCCUGUUUUCAUCUUUCAAAUCUCAGUGUAUUAGUCAGGAUUCCUCAGAGCAACAGAUAAGAGGGCACAACUGUUCACAAAGAAAAUUGGCAAUAUCAAGCAGAUCUCUGGCAUCAGAGCUUCAACUGGUGCGUUUUUUUUUGUUUUUUUUUCUGUUGUUCUCGGACAAAUGUGUGCUUUCUGCUUGAUUUAUUGUUGAGAGGGAAAAGAAGGGAGCCACGUUUUCCUUUGAGCACAUACUAUUUGUCAUAAUCACUCUAGGAGCUCACGUGCAAACCACCUUAACCUGCAGUAACGCUGACCUCAGGUCCCCCUGGCUCCAGGCCCGCGGGGCUGUUCAUCAUCUUUCCUCGGGAGCUCACAGGACGCAGGCGCUUCACCUCUAACACGACGGGCUCACUGUGCUCUCGAAUAAGGCGUAUAAUGUAAUCAACAUACAAAUUAUGCCUUAAUUGACUGUUUAUGUUAUCAGUAAGGUGAUUCAAGUGGGACGUGGAUUUUGGGAGGCCCUGGCUGGCUCAGUGGGUAGAGCACGCGGCUCUCACCGUUGGGUCAUGACUCCAGCUCCACACUGGGCGUGGAGCCUACCGGAAAAAGAAAGCAGAAAAAAGGUACACGUGGAUUUUGAGCUGUGGAGGGUGUCGGCCAACCGAACCCCUGAGAUGUCCGAGGGUCAACUGUAGGAAGCAGAAAAUCUCUUUGCCCUUACGAAGCGUCCUUCUUUCCGUUUGCCAAGUGGUGUGCUGACCCCCGUGUUUCUCUGCACUAAUGGAGGCCCUCUAGCCCGUCCUUUCCUCCUUUGGGUAGAGGCAGGGGUGUCAGCGCCGGGGUCCCCCGUGGGGUCCUGUCUGCCUUGGCCGUGCCCUCUUCGGGCUCCGCCAGGACAGUGUACCCGGGUUCUCUGCCUCUGCCUGGGUCCUGCUCUGUUGUCCCGGGGCCCGGACCCACCUGUCCCACCCCAGGGAUGCUUUCAGUCCUCCGGCCAAUGACAACGUUCUGCUCUCCGCCAUCAGCCUGGGCCCCAGAGGAGCAGACCCGACGGGCCACCUACGUGUAGGAGUUACUGUGAGCAGUUGGCUUAGGGACCAUGGGGGCGACAGGUCCCAGGGGCUGCAGGGAGGGAGCUGCAG
rnacentral:lncRNA from 12 species